rnacentral:rRNA from 11 species
GUGUAGAGGUGAAAUUCGUAGAUAUUUGGAGGAACACCAGUGGCGAAGGCGACUUUCUGGUCUGUAACUGACGCUGAUGUGCGAAAGCGUGGGGAUCAAACAGCAUUAGAUACCCUGGUAGUCCACGCCGUAAACGAUGAGUGCUAGUUGUCGGGGCGCAUGCGCUUCGGUGACGUAGUUAACGCGUUAAGCACUCCGCCUGGGGAGUACGGCCGCAAGGUUAAAACUCAAAGAAAUUGACGGGGGCCCGCACAAGCAGUGGAGCAUGUGGUUUAAUUCGACGCAACGCGAAGAACCUUACCUGGCCUUGACAUGCAGAGAACUUUCCAGAGAUGGAUUGGUGCCUUCGGGA